rnacentral:rRNA from 1 species
CACACCGCCCUUCGCUCCCCCGAUGAAUGGUCCGGUGAAGUUUCGUAUUGCGGCUACGUGGGCGGUUCGCUCCCGCGACUUGGUGAGAAGUCCACUGAACUCUUAUCAUUUAGAGGAAGGAGAAGUCGUACCAAGGUUUCCGAGGUGAACCUGCGAAGGAUCAUU